UAAGCAACCUGCCUUUAAGACGAGAAUAACAAUUGGAAACAGUUGCUAAGGCUGGAUAGGAAAUAAAAAGGCAUCUUUUUAUUUUUAAAAGACCUUUUUCGGAAGGUAUGCUUAAAGAGGGGCUUGCGUCACAUUAGUUAGUUGGUAGGGUAAAGGCCUACCAAGACGAUGAUGUGUAGCUGGACUGAGAGGUUGAACAGCCACAUUGGGACUGAGACACGGCCCAAACUCCUACGGGAGGCAGCAGUAGGGAAUUUUCGGCAAUGGAGGAAACUCUGACCGAGCAACGCCGCGUGAACGACGAAGUACUUCGGUAUGUAAAGUUCUUUUAUUGAAGAAGAAACAAUAGUGGAAAAACUAUCUUGACGUUAUUCAAUGAAUAAGCCCCGGCUAACUAUGUGCCAGCAGCCGCGGUAAUACAUAGGGGGCGAGCGUUAUCCGGAAUUAUUGGGCGUAAAGGGUGCGUAGGCGGUUUAAUAAGUCUCUAGUUUAAUUUCAACGCUUAACGUUGUCCUGCUAGAGAAACUGUUUAACUAGAGUGAGAUAGAGGUAAGCGGAAUUCCAUGUGUAGCGGUAAAAUGUGUAAAUAUAUGGAGGAACACCAGAGGCGUAGGCGGCUUACUGGGUCUUUACUGACGCUGAUGCACGAAAGCGUGGGGAGCAAACAGGAUUAGAUACCCUGGUAGUCCACGCCGUAAACUAUGAGUACUAAGUGUCGGGGUUAAACUCGGUACUGAAGUUAACACAUUAAGUACUCCGCCUGAGUAGUACGUACGCAAGUAUGAAACUUAAAGGAAUUGACGGGAUCCCGCACAAGCGGUGGAUCAUGUUGUUUAAUUCGAAGAUACACGAAAAACCUUACCAGGUCUUGACAUACUCUGCAAAGCUAUAGAAAUAUAGUGGAGGUUAUCAGGGAUACAGGUGGUGCAUGGUUGUCGUCAGCUCGUGUCGUGAGAUGUUAGGUUAAGUUCUAAAACGAGCGCAACCCCUGUCGUUAAUUGCCAGCACGUUAUGGUGGGGACUUUAGCGAGACUGCCAAUGAAAAAUUGGAGGAAGGUGGGGAUUACGUCAAAUCAUCAUGCCCCUUAUGAUCUGGGCUACAAACGUGAUACAAUGGCUAUUACAAAGAGUAGCUGAAACGCGAGUUUUUGGCAAAUCUCAAAAAAAUAGUCUCAGUUCGGAUUGAAGUCUGCAACUCGACUUCAUGAAGUUGGAAUCGCUAGUAAUCGCGAAUCAGCAUGUCGCGGUGAAUACGUUCUCGGGGUUUGUACACACCGCCCGUCAAACCACGAAAGUGGACAAUACCCGAAAGCGACAG
rnacentral:rRNA from 1 species